AUUGAACGCUGGCGGCAUGCCUUACACAUGCAAGUCGAACGGCAGCAUGAUCUAGCUUGCUAGAUUGAUGGCGAGUGGCGAACGGGUGAGUAAUACAUCGGAACGUGCCCUGUAGUGGGGGAUAACUAGUCGAAAGAUUAGCUAAUACCGCAUACGACCUGAGGGUGAAAGUGGGGGACCGCAAGGCCUCAUGCUAUAGGAGCGGCCGAUGUCUGAUUAGCUAGUUGGUGAGGUAAAGGCUCACCAAGGCGACGAUCAGUAGCUGGUCUGAGAGGACGAUCAGCCACACGGGGACUGAGACACGGCCCAGACUCCUACGGGAGGCAGCAGUGGGGAAUUUUGGACAAUGGGCGAAAGCCUGAUCCAGCAAUGCCGCGUGUGUGAAGAAGGCCUUCGGGUUGUAAAGCACUUUUGUCCGGAAAGAAAUGGCUCUGGUUAAUACCUGGGGUCGAUGACGGUACCGGAAGAAUAAGGACCGGCUAACUACGUG
rnacentral:rRNA from 1 species